GCUUGACUGUAGCUUGUAAUUGGGUUCGGGCUUUUUUUGCGCAGCCUAGGUGGGAGGCAAUGAUGAUUUUUUUCCGGAAAAUUUGAGCCAUUCGUGAGAGACCACUCUGAAAAGGCUAGAAUCCUAAUAAUGAUCCUUGAAUCAGGACAUUUGACAGUUGCAGGUGGGCAGUUUUACUGGGGCGGUAUUCUCCUAAAAAGUAACGGAGGGGUGCAAAGGUUCCCUCAGCUGGACGGAAAUCAGCUUAAGAGUGUAAAGGCAAAAGGGAGCUUGACUGCAAGACCUACAAGUCGAGCAGGGCGAAAGCCGGCCUUAGUGAUCCGACGGUACCACGUGGAAGGGCCGUCGCUCAACGGAUAAAAGUUA
rnacentral:rRNA from 1 species